CAGUGAUCUGGGGCUGGGCCCUGGGGUACACCUGCUGCCCAGGCCUGAAACUGGGGGUCAGCCCAGGCUCCCCCUCCCUCUCCAACCCGCCCAUCCAAUGAGUCACAGGGUUCUAGAACCUCCCUCUCAGAUAUUUGCGUCGAUUACCAAUAUCACUGUCUUAUUUCAGGCUUCUUUCAUUUCUCAUUACACACACUGUGGAAGACACCUGGCUGCUAAUCUCUUCCUUCUCCUCCGAUCCUUCACAGCACACCCAGCCUCACAAGCUGAACGUUCUCUCCUGAUGGUGAAACCUCACACGAUGCCCUUGUCAUCCAAGGGAAGUCCAGGCCUGGGCACAUUCAGAGCCCCCACCUCAGCCCUCACCAGUCCUGGGCUCCAGCUGGGCCCCCAACCCUCUAGUUCCAGGGUGUACUCUGACCCUCGUGUCUUUGCACACGCCAUUCCUUAUAUCCAGAACUCCCUUCCCAACCCCAGUUAUUCGGCUCGUAUUCACUGAGCACCUGUUACGUCCAGGCACCAUUCUAUGCACCAGGGAUACGGUGUGGAACUUGAAUUUUGGUGGGGUAACUGACAGUAAGCAACUCAGAGUGCGCCAGGUGUUGGCGAGCACUACGAUGAGGAGAAUGCUGGAGAACGGGAACACACCUGGGCAGGGUGAGGACCGAGGGCAAGGAGGAGUCAGCCAUAAGGAGACUAAAGAGGAAAGACGUUCCAGGUGGAGGAAAGAGCCCACGCCGAGGCCCCUAAGCAGGAGAGAAAAAGAAGGCCAGUGAAAGGAGAGCGUGGCCAGGGGCUGACAGCCAGGCUUCCUGAGCCGGGCUCCCAGGUUGGGUCCUCUGGCGGGCAGACACUUCCUGCGGGAGACUCGGUGGAUGGUGGUGGAGACGGGAAGAUACGCAGAAUGUGUUCUGGAGGCAGAAGUGAUGAGACUCGCUGCCAAACUGGAUAAGAAGAUGAAGAAAGGGAUCCAGAAGGACUUCAGCAUUGGAACAUUGACAAUAAUUCUACCUUAGAAAGAAAGAACGCAUAAAAGGACCGGGGCAUCUAUUUUUAGCAGCAGUAAUUUCACAGGUAUCAGGGAACCAGACAGUGAACCGAAUCAACUGAGUCACCUUUCGGGGGUGACUCAUGUUCUGGAUCAAGGUCAACAAGGUUGACUCUCACUAAAAGAGAAGUAAAGCUCUAAAGUCUCCAGGAUUUUUUUUAAAUUUUUUUUUUUUUUUGAGGAAGAUUAGCCCUGAGCUGUUGCCAAUCCGCCUCUUUUUGCUGAGGAAGACUGGCCCUGAGCUAACAUCUGUGCCCAUCUUCCUCUACUUAUAGCUGAGACACCUACCACAGCAUGGCUGGCCAAGUGGUGCCAUGUCUGCACCUGGGAUCUGAACUGGGGAACCCCGGGCCACCGAAGUGGAACGUGUGCACUUAACUGCUGCACCACUGGGCUCACCCCCCAGGAUUUUUUGGUUUUUUUAAGGAAAAAGAAACAAACGAACAAAAAACAGUCACAUCUCUGGUCUUUUAAAAAUAGCUUCAGGGUCAGAUAGAUGCAGUCAGCAUUUCUAACCAUCCAUUUGUCACGUGCACAUGAAUCUUCAGGUCUCAGUCAGACAGAGGUGCUCAGCUGUUUUGAAAUGAGGUGGUAAGAAACACCACCAUUCCGCUUGUAGACACACAGCGUAAGCCGCUGUUUGCAAAGGGCCACCCAGACCAACGCCCUUCAGUAAGUUUCUCCCACAGUCUCGUGUCUCCGUCUAGAAAUCCAGAACGACGGCUGUCGGCUCCCUCUCGCCUGUCCCGGAAUGAGCACAGCUCCCGUCAGAGACGAAGCUAGAUCCCCUUGAUGUGUGGCCCCUGCACGGGAAGGAGGAUACUGACUGCUUCCAGAGUCCAUCUUCCUUGUGCUGAGAGGACAGGGGCUGAUGCGGCCGCUGCGCGCCUGGGGCCCACCCUGUGUCUGGGUCCCUGGGAGAGGCAGAGACGCUUGCCCUCGUGCCUCACAGUCCUGAGCACACAUGAGUCUCAGAGCAUUUGCCACUUGGGUUGAUGGUUCACGUCUAUUUCCCCAAAGAGGGAGCCAGUUCCUCGAGGGCAGGGACCAUGUGGUAUUCAUCUGUGCAGUCCCAAAGCCUGGGCAUGACCGGCACGUACGUCAUAUGCUGACGGCAGGGAGGGAAAAAAAGGCGAGACAGCCAAGAGAUGGACCUGACCCAUAGGCCCACAUACCUCACUCUUUAUAGACUAAGCUGCUCAUCAACUGAUUCACUCACUCGUCCAGCACAGGCUGCGGAGCAUCACUCCUCUGCUUCCUGCUCCCUUUCAGCUCAUCCCCCCUGCACACACUUGUCUCCCUUCCCAAACCUUCUAACCGAAGCUCCGUGCUCUGGCUUAACCCCUCCCCAUUAGGAGAAAAAGCAGAUUAAGGGCUGACCCUUAACAAACUCCACCCUACACACCCGAAACACUCCCAGAGCAGCUCGUUUGCAAGGUCACGGACUUUGCUGUCAGAUCUGGUUCCAACACCCACUCCCCCAGCUCCUAGCCUUUAUGACCUCACAGACGGGAUGGAUCAUUCCUAAAAAGCAGGGUGGCCGUGCGGAUCAGACCACAGCUGAGGGCAGACACUUGCCCAAUCCCAGCUGUCCUCCUUCACCCCAGUGCACGGCCUUGGGGAGCUGGGGGCCAUCUUUCUCUACCAAAGGGAUGCCACGGUGCAGAUUUUAAAGGAACCGCACCCCUCAUCUCCUUUCAUAAU
ensembl:lncRNA